rnacentral:rRNA from 1 species
GCAGUAGCCGCGGUAAUACGAAGGGUGCAAGCGUUACUCGGAAUUACUGGGCGUAAAGCGUGCGUAGGUGGUGGUUUAAGUCCGUUGUGAAAGCCCUGGGCUCAACCUGGGAAUUGCAGUGGAUACUGGGUCACUAGAGUGUGGUAGAGGAUAGUGGAAUUUCCGGUGUAGCAGUGAAAUGCGUAGAGAUCGGAAGGAACAUCUGUGGCGAAGGCGACUAUCUGGGCCAACACUGACACUGAGGCACGAAAGCGUGGGGAGCAAACAGGAUUAGAUACCCCGGUAGUCCCUGUCUCUUAUAC